CAAUAGCGUAUAUUUAAGUUGUUGCAGUUAAAAAGCUCGUAGUUGGAUUUCGGUUGAGAACGGCCGGUCCGCCGUUUGGUGUGCACUGGCUGGUUUCAACUUCCUGUAGAGGACGUGCUCUGGCUUCACGGCUGGACGCGGAGUCUACGUGGUUACUUUGAAAAAAUUAGAGUGUUCAAAGCGGGCUUACGCUUGAAUAUUUCAGCAUGGAAUAACACUAUAGGACUCCUGUCCUAUUUCGUUGGUCUCGGGACGGGAGUAAUGAUUAAGAGGAACAGUUGGGGGCAUUCGUAUUUCAUUGUCAGAGGUGAAAUUCUUGGAUUUAUGAAAGGCGAACUUCUGCGAAAGCAUUUGCCAAGGAUGUUUNCAUUAA
rnacentral:rRNA from 1 species